GCACGAUAUCGUCCCUGUCUUGCGUCGGCGUUACGGAGGUAGAUUUCCAGUCUAACAAAGCGUCUGCCAUCACUUUCUUCAUGCAAAGGAACUUCUGUCAUUAACCAGCUUAGUAGUUUGGACUUUUGUGGUGGUUGCCAUUGUUCUUUUGAAAUUAUAUUGCUGGGAUAUUCAUAAAGAGUCUGUUUUAAUUGUCAAAGAUCUUGGAAUUCAGUACACCAAAUCAUGUGUCCUUGGGCUACAGACAAGUCAAUUUAUUGAACAUCAUAAAAUUGUGGAUGUGCUUAUCAAUGAAGUCAUAACUAUGCACCAAGUUGUAUGUUACUUGACAUUGCUCAUUUCUGAAGGAAAACAGAAUCAACCAAGAAGAAAGCAUGAACUGCUCCCAUUAUUCAUGGCUACUGUACCAAAUCUAGUUACAAUCAAAUCAAUUUAUCAUGGCAUGCAGAAGAUACUUGGGACAUGAUGGAUGAAUUAAAGAUUUAAUCCUCUAGACACUUGCUACCUUUUUCACCCAUUUUUUAACUCCCAAGAAUUGAUCAUUGUCAAUUCUCCCUCAAAUGUAGCUGGUACACAGUUAUUUCUUGUGACUGAAUGAAUUUGGUGUUAAAUCAAGAAAAUAACCUCUAUCUGAUAAGUUUGAGCGCUCUCAUUACCCUUUUGCUGGAUAAUAAAUUAAUGUUAUAGGAAGAUGUUACAUGUUUUAAAAUCACUUCUAGGAGUUAAAGGGAGAAUGCAUGACAAAUUAAGUUGCCUUGCCAUAAUUGAAUUGUUGAUGUAAAUGUUUGUUGAAGCAAUCAGGAACUUUUGAUUCUGGUAAACUUUCUCUGAGGGAGAAAUAAACUGCACUGUAUACAUCUGUGAACAUGCAAGCUGAGCAAAGUGAUGCUUUUAUUUAGUAAUUACCUUUUUGAAAAUAAGAUGGUUUUCUCUUCAGAGUUCAACCAUAUAAGGAAUGAAUACCUUAACAGAAAUGAAACUAUCACAUUACAACUACGACGAGUAGGAAAUCAAAUGCAUUUUUUUCCGCUAUCAUGCAAGCUCAGCAAAGUGAUGCUUUCAUUUUUCAAUACUCAUAAAAUGUUGACUUCUCUUCAGUAUUAUACCAUACAAGGAAUGAGUAAAUCAACAGGAAUAUAAAAUCAUCUUGUUGGUACUAAACAUGACAAUGUGAUUUUUGCAUAAUUCAAACUGGUUCAAACUGUCACGGACAAAUGCGAGUAUACAAUCGGAAUUACGUCAGACAGUUACAUUGGUAAACAGUGCUCACGAUCAUCAACAGAUGAAACGACCGUAAAAGGAAAAAAAUUACCGUUUCCGUUGACCUAACAAAAGUGAAAACAUACAUUCAAAAUGUGGAUGAUUCUUAGUAAACUCAAUUGGAAUACAAUUAGUAGAAAAUAUGACUACUGAGUUUCCUUCCGCAAAAUGCAAUCGUCUUGAAGCUAAUAUAAACCUUUUGUCAAAUUAAAUGAUACAGUAUAGAAGCUUCAUCAGAAAUGGUGAUAAAUAAAUCGACCGCGCUCACCAGGAAAGAAACCUUGAAACUGGGAAGUAGUUUAUAAAAUUUCUGCUUUCGUGGGUAGCGCUGUUUUAAAUAUUACCAUAUUUGGGCACGAAAUUGUUCCUGACUUACUUCAGCGUUGCAAAACUAGGAGGGGUAUGAUUUCGCUUACUUAAUGCAAAGAUAAAUUCAAAUUUACUUGAUACUAUGCCUUGUUACGAUAACUUAAAUCAAAGACGACUCCUAUUAGUCGCAAAGCGUUCUAAACGUCGUCCCAAUAAUUCCGUUGAGUUGCGUGACACUCGUCCUUACAUAUAUAAUCAAGAUUUAACGGAUUAUUAAUGGUACUUCGCGACGAAAAGAAUGUACAUUCAAACUUAUAAUACCUUACCCUAUAUUACAAGCUCCAUAUUUUGAGUUCCAAAGUUUUCAGGACAUGUGACAUUUAGAAUUGUGCACAAUCCUCGUUACUUACAAGUGACUCUCUUUUUACACAGCAUAAUUAGUUUUCAUUUAUUUCCUCAAUCAUUUAAAAACCCAUUUAAAGGCAAGCAUAGCUCUCCACUUCAUGCUUCCACUGCUUAUUCAUUUGCCUCACCUCUUAACGGACGAACAGUUGAUAAGUGAACCUAUUGUUCUAAGACUUUUUCGAGGCCGUAAGUUUAAUGUUGUUUAAAGAAAAAUAAACUCUGCUAUGCUUCAUUGCAUGUGCACACACUAAAAGCAUGCAGGACUAUGAAGCAGCACAUUACAAUUUUAGCUUUGUUUUGAGAUAUUUUGAUCCAUCUAAAGGCAAUUAAAGAAGUCUUUACAUAAGGUUCUAAGAACUGUAUCCACAUAGUACCUUCACUAUUGAAAUUAUUUCAGUUAUUGUUAGCAUCAGAAUAUUAUUAUCCUUAAUGUUAUUGAUUAAUUUGAGAAAAGAAUAUAUUAGUUUGAUUUUGAUCGAUUUUCUUCGAGCAUCGGGUCUUACGUUACUUGACAAAAUUUGCUCACUUCUGAAGGAAUGCAGCUCGGAACAACCAGUAAGAUAAAUCAGCAGCUCCUUGAUACUAGUUACAGUAUGAAUUUGAGUCUAAUAAAUUUUAGAG